GCCUUCGUGGUGUAAUGGUUAGCACAUCCGGCGUGUAUUCGAGAGGUCCAGGUUCGAGUCCUAGCGAGGGCA
rnacentral:tRNA from 1 species